UACGGAGGGUGCAAGCGUUAUUCGGAAUUACUGGGCGUAAAGCGCACGUAGGCUGCUUUGUAAGUCAGGGGUGAAAUCCCACGGCUCAACCGUGGAACUGCCUUUGAAACUGCGGAGCUUGAAUCCUGGAGAGGGUGGCGGAAUUCCUGGUGUAGGAGUGAAAUCCGUAGAUAUCAGGAGGAACACCGGUGGCGAAGGCGGCCACCUGGACAGGUAUUGACGCUGAGGUGCGAAAGUGUGGGGAGCAAAC
rnacentral:rRNA from 2 species